rnacentral:lncRNA from 1 species
CGCCUCUUGAUUGUGAAUUUCCGAAACUAUGGUAAAGUUUCCCUUUUAUCUCAUUGUUUAUACCAUUUUCAUGUUUUUCAAUAAAAUGUGAUUCUUGUAUAAAUAAAAUAUUACACUUUUGGUUUUUGCACCAUAGGUUUAAUCUUUCUCUCUUUUCUUUUUGCCCUAAGCCUUGACAGUUUAGGGAACAUAUAUUUAGUUUUUCA